rnacentral:rRNA from 1 species
GUAAAGCACUUUCAGUAGGGAGGAAGGUAGUGUACGUUAACACCUGCACUAUUUGACGUUACCUACAGAAGAAGCACCGGCUAACUCCGUGCCAGCAGCCGCGGUAAUACGGAGGGUGCGAGCGUUAAUCGGAAUUACUGGGCGUAAAGCGCAUGCAGGCGGCCUGUUAAGUCAGAUGUGAAAGCCCGGGGCGUUAAACCUCGGAAUUGCAUUUGAAACUGGCAGGCUAGAGUCUUGUAGAGGGGGGUAGGAAUUUCAGGUGUAGCGGUGAAAAUGCGUAGAGAUCUGAAGGAAUACCAGUGGCGAAGGCGGCCCCCUGGACAAAGACUGACGCUCAGAUGCGAAAGCGUGGGGAGCAAACAGGAUUAGAUACCCCUGGUAG